rnacentral:lncRNA from 1 species
CAACAAGCAGAUAGGUAGAGAGGAGUGACCAGCUUGGAGCCGAGCCCUCCGUAAUGUUUGGUUUGGCAAUAGUGUGGACAUCCAGCCAAACUACUCUGACUCUGAUCCAGCCAAACUACUCUGUCUGUCAAACACCUAUUUCCUUUGUGUUCUCUGUGGUCACUCCAGGAAAUGUUGGAAUACUGGUGGACUGAUGAUUUUUCUUCCGUAAGAAAGACACCUCCCUGAUGUGAUAUGCUUACUCAGGCGUUUUAUACCAACAAACCUCUCCUUCCUCUCUCCCUCUUUCACCAUCCUACUUUUAUAUCACACUCUCCUCCACCCUUUCUCUCUCCUAGGUGAGUGGUACGUGUGUGUUUUUGUGUACGUGCAUUACUGACUAAUCUACUGUCCUCCCAACAGGAGCUCUAUAGAUGAGGAUGUUGGCCAGAUGGAUGAUGAGGACAUCAUGGUUCACAGCUUGGACGAGGACGAUGACACUUCCUCCUCCAACAAAGGGGAACCUGAGCAGCAUGGGGAGAGGGAGGCUGACAGUGGUGCCAAGGAGAGCAAGGUAGUCCACAUUGCAAGGGAGAUCAUGAGCUCCGAGAAUGUAUUGUCAACGUCCUGAAGCUUCUCCAUAUUAACUUCCGUGAUGCGGUGGCAAAGGUGUCUCAUCAAAAGUGGGAAGCCUAUUAUAGAGGUUCCAGAUCCUGUACUACCUUCCUCAGCUCUAUGAAUUGAACCAUGACCUGCUCAGAGAGCUGGAGGAGAGGGUCACACAAUGGUACCAGA